GACGGGGGAUGCAAGCGUUAUCCGGAAUCACUGGGCGUAAAGCGUCUGUAGGUGGUGAUGCAAGUCACUGGUGCAAAACUCUGGCUCAACCGGAGGAAAGCCGGUGAAACUGCAUGACUAGAGUGUGGGAGAGGUAGAAGGAAUUCCCUGAGUAGCGGUGAAAGGCGUAGAUACAGGGAAGAACACCGGAGGCGAAAGCGUUCUACUGGAACACAACUGACACUGAGAGGCGAAAGCUAGGGGAGCGAAUGGG
rnacentral:rRNA from 1 species